rnacentral:rRNA from 1 species
GACGAACCGUCCAAACGUUGUUCGGAAUCACUGGGCUUAAAGGGCGCGUAGGCGGGCAAGCAAGUCCGGGGUGAAAUCGUUCGGCUCAACCGGACCAGGGCCUUGGAGACUGCUUGUCUAGAGGGAGGUAGGGGUCUGCGGAACUUCGGGUGGAGCGGUGAAAUGCGUUGAUAUCCGAAGGAACGCCGGUGGCGAAAGCGGCGGACUGGACCUUUUCUGACGCUGAGGCGCGAAAGCCAGGGGAGCAAACGGG